GACGAACGCUGGCGGCGUGCUUAACACAUGCAAGUCGAACGGAAAGGCCCUGCUUUUGUGGGGUGCUCGAGUGGCGAACGGGUGAGUAACACGUGAGUAACCUGCCCUUGACUUUGGGAUAACUUCAGGAAACUGGGGCUAAUACCGGAUAGGAGCUCCUGCUGCAUAGUGGGGGUUGGAAAGUUUCGGCGGUUGGGGAUGACCCGCGGCUUAUCAGCUUGUUGGUGGGGUAGUGGCUUACCAAGGCUUUGACGGGUAGCCGGCCUGAGAGGGUGACCGGCCACAUUGGGACUGAGAUACGGCCCAGACUCCUACGGGAGGCAGCAGUGGGGAAUAUUGCACAAUGGGCGGAAGCCUGAUGCAGCAACGCCGCGUGCGGGAUGACGGCCUUCGGGUUGUAAACCGCUUUCGCCUGUGACGAAGCGUGAGUGACGGUAAUGGGUAAAGAAGCACCGGCUAACUACGUG
rnacentral:rRNA from 1 species